rnacentral:rRNA from 1 species
CAGUAGCCACGGGAAUACGAAGGGGGCUAGCGUUGUUCGGAUUUACUGGGCGUAAAGGGCGCGUAGGCGGACUGAUAAGUCAGGGGUGAAAUCCCAAGGCUCAACCUUGGAACUGCCUUUGAUACUGUUUGUCUUGAGUUCGAGAGAGGUAAGUGGAACUGCGAGUGUAGAGGUGAAAUUCGUAGAUAUUCGCAAGAACACCAGUGGCGAAGGCGGCUUACUGGCUCGAAACUGACGCUGAGGCGCGAAAGCGUGGGGAGCAAACAGGAUUAGAGACCCCCGUAGUCCCUGUCUCUUAUAC